UACGUAGGGGGCGAGCGUUGUCCGGAAUUACUGGGCGUAAAGGGCGCGUAGGCGGUCUAAUAAGUCAGAUGUGAAAUUCUUGGGCUUAACCCAGGAUGUGCAUUUGAAACUGUUGGACUUGAGGGCAGGAGAGGAAAGCGGAAUUCCCAGUGUAGCGGUGAAAUGCGUAGAUAUUGGGAGGAACACCAGUGGCGAAGGCGGCUUUCUGGACUGUACCUGACGCUGAGGCGCGAAAGCCAGGGGAGCGAAC
rnacentral:rRNA from 1 species